CGGUGCUCAGAGGAUCGAGCGCCGGUUUCCGGUACCGAAGGCCGUCGGUUCGAUUCCUAUCGAAGGUGCCGAUCCACCCA
rnacentral:tRNA from 1 species